UAGGGAAUCUUCCACAAUGGACGCAAGUCUGAUGGAGCAACGCCGCGUGAGUGAAGAAGGGUUUCGGCUCGUAAAGCUCUGUUGUUAAAGAAGAACGUGGGUAAGAGUAACUGUUUACCCAGUGACGGCAUUUAACCAGAAAGCCACGGCUAACUACGUGCCAA
rnacentral:rRNA from 1 species